rnacentral:rRNA from 1 species
AACGAACGCUGGCGGCAUGCCUAACACAUGCAAGUCGAACGAACCCUUCGGGGUUAGUGGCGCACGGGUGCGUAACGCGUGGGAACCUGCCUUUAGGUUCGGAAUAACUCAGAGAAAUUUGAGCUAAUACCGGAUAAUGUCUUCGGACCAAAGAUUUAUCGCCUUUAGAUGGGCCCGCGUAAGAUUAGCUAGUUGGUGGGGUAAAGGCCUACCAAGGCGACGAUCUUUAGCUGGUCUGAGAGGAUGAUCAGCCACACUGGGACUGAGACACGGCCCAGACUCCUACGGGAGGCAGCAGUGGGGAAUAUUGGACAAUGGGCGAAAGCCUGAUCCAGCAAUGCCGCGUGAGUGAUGAAGGCCUUAGGGUUGUAAAGCUCUUUUACCAGGGAUGAUAAUGACAGUACCUGGAGAAUAAGCUCCGGCUAACUCCGUGCCAGCAGCCGCGGUAACAC